rnacentral:tRNA from 1 species
GUGCUGGUGCUCCGCGAUUGGUGCCGUAGAGUCUUGCCCUCCGAAGGCAAAGGUCACACGUUCGAAUCGUGUCGGGUACGCCA